UACGGGGGGGGCAAGCGUUGUUCGGAAUUACUGGGCGUAAAGGGCUCGUAGGCGGCCAACUAAGUCAGACGUGAAAUCCCUCGGCUUAACCGGGGAACUGCGUCUGAUACUGGAUGGCUGGAGUUUGGGAGAGGGAUGCGGAAUUCCAGGUGUAGCGGUGAAAUGCGUAGAUAUCUGGAGGAACACCUGUGGUGUAGACAGCUUACUGGACCACGACUGACGCUGAGACACGAAAGCGUGGGUAGCAAACAGG
rnacentral:rRNA from 1 species